rnacentral:rRNA from 1 species
GAUGAACGCUGGCGGCGUGCCUAAUACAUGCAAGUAGAACGCUGAAGGAAGGAGCUUGCUCUUUCCGGAUGAGUUGCGAACGGGUGAGUAACGCGUAGGUAACCUGCCUGGUAGCGGGGGAUAACUAUUGGAAACGAUAGCUAAUACCGCAUAACAGUAGAUGUUGCAUGAUAUCUACUUAAAAGGUGCAAUUGCACCACUACCAGAUGCACCUGCGUUGGAUUAGCUAGUUGGUGAGGUAACGGCUCACCAAGGCGACGAUACAUAGCCGACCUGAGAGGGUGAUCGGCCACACUGGGACUGAGACACGGCCCAGACUCCUACGGGAGGCAGCAGUAGGGAAUCUUCGGCAAUGGACGGAAGUCUGACCGAGCAACGCCGCGUGAGUGAAGAAGGUUUUCGGAUCGUAAAGCUCUGUUGUAAGAGAAGAACGAGUGUGAGAGUGGAAAGUUCACACUGUGACGGUAUCUGACCAGAAAGGGACGGCUAACUACGUG